rnacentral:misc_RNA from 1 species
GACAGAAAUAAACCACCUAGGUAAGGAUUAUGAAGUAAUUUGGAGUCACACUGGACCAAAACAAUUCAGUGUCCUCAGAACUUCCCAUCAAACCCACAACCUCAAACCAAGUCCAUAGCAAGCAAGCAAGCAAUCAUGACUCAGUGCAUAAGCAUUAAUUGCAGAUACAUAGGAUAUUGAAUUCCAAAGUUAAUAAAGAUUAGGGUAACUAACAGUUUCAGCAAAUAUCAAACAAGCAAUGGCUGGUUAGGUUAUAGACAAAAUAAGCCAUAAACAUGCCAGAACAAGAAGUCAAAAAA